GACAGAGGGUGCAAACGUUGCUCGGAAUUACUGGGCGUAAAGCGCACGUAGGCGGAUUGGUCAGUUAGGGGUGAAAUCCUGGAGCUCAACUCCAGAACUGCCUUUAAUACUGCCAGUCUCGAGUCCGGAAGAGGUAAGUGGAACUCCUAGUGUAGAGGUGGAAUUCGUAGAUAUUAGGAAGAACACCAGUGGCGAAGGCGGCUUACUGGUCCGGUACUGACGCUGAGGUGCGAAAGCGUGGGGAGCAAACAGG
rnacentral:rRNA from 1 species